rnacentral:rRNA from 1 species
GUCGAGCGAAUCUGAUGGGAGCUUGCUCCUUGUCAGAUAACGGCCGGAGGGUGAAGUAACCGGGGGUUAACCGGCCGGUAAAAUGGGAAUAAUUCCGGGAACCGGGGCUUAAUCCGGAAUAAUUUUUUCCUUCCAUGGAGGGAAAUUGAAAGGGGGCUCCUAGCUACCCCUUACAAAUGGACCCGCGGCGCAUUACCUAUUUGGGGAGGAAACGGCUCCCCAAGGCAACAAUGCGUACCCAAUUUGAAAGGGGGAUCGGCCCCCCUGGGACUGAAACCCGGCCCAAACCCCUACGGGAGGCAGCAUUAGGAAAUCUUCCCCAUGGGACAAAAGUUUGACGGACCACCGCCGCGGGAGUGAUGAGGGUUUUCGAAUCGUAAAACUCUGUUGUUAGGAAAAAACAAUUUUCCUCCGAUUAGGGGGGUCCCUUGACGGAACCUACCCAAAAAGCCCCGGUUAAUAACGUGCCACCACCCGGGGAAGUACUUAGGGGGCAAGCGUUGUCCGGAAUUAUGGGGCGUAAAGGGCGCGCAGGCGGUUCCUUACUUUGAAUUUGAAACCCCCCGGCUCACCCCUGAAGGGCCAUGGGAAAUGGGGAAACUGGAGUGCAAAAAGGAAGAACGAAUUUCCCCCUGUACCGUCGAAAUGCGUAGAGUGGUGAAGCACCCCACUGGUAAAGGCGGCUCUUUGGUCUGUAACUGCUCCUGAGGCGCGAAAGCGUGGGGAGGCGAACAGGAUAGAUACGCUGCUACUCCUCGCCGUACACGAUAACGGCUCAUGGUUAAAGGGUUUCCGCUCUUUAGUGCUGCAGCUACCGCAUUAACCACUCCCCUUGGCGGAGUAAGGCCGGAAGGNUGAAACUCAAGGAAUAGACGGCG